rnacentral:rRNA from 1 species
CAGUCGUACCAACGGGAAAUCAAUUCAUCGAGUGUUGAAUUUGGGUCUUGAAGAGUCUUAAAACCUUUGGGUUCAGAUAUUUUCACUUUUUGAACGUAUUUUCUCGUACGGUAGGUUAACAUCGAUUUUGAACAUUAUAAAAUGAUCGGAGGAAUGUAGCUUCGAUCUUGUAUUGAAGUGUUAUAGCCUUUGGUAGAUGUAAUGAUCGAGAUCGAGGAUUGCAACGAAUACCCUUUUGGGCUAUCCGUCUGAUCUCUGAUACGUUGCCUCGGUAACGAAAGCGUGCUUACGGUAUUGAGGUUUACGGUCAAAAGGUUAGAACGAGAUUACAUUCGUUAA